rnacentral:rRNA from 1 species
GAUGAACGCUGGCGGCGUGCCUAAUACAUGCAAGUCGAGCGAACAGACGAGGAGCUUGCUCCUCUGACGUUAGCGGCGGACGGGUGAGUAACACGUGGAUAACCUACCUAUAAGACUGGGAUAACUUCGGGAAACCGGAGCUAAUACCGGAUAAUAUAUUGAACCGCAUGGUGCAAUAGUGAAAGACGGUUUUGCUGUCACUUAUAGAUGGAUCCGCGCCGCAUUAGCUAGUUGGUAAGGUAACGGCUUACCAAGGCGACGAUGCGUAGCCGACCUGAGAGGGUGAUCGGCCACACUGGAACUGAGACACGGUCCAGACUCCUACGGGAGGCAGCAGUAGGGAAUCUUACGCAAUGGGCGAAAGCCUGACGGAGCAACGCCGCGUGAGUGAUGAAGGUCUUCGGAUCGUAAAACUCUGCUUUUAGGGAAGAACAAAUGUGUAAGUAACUAUGCACGUCUUGACGGUACCUAAUCAGAAAGCCACGGCUAACUACGUG